rnacentral:rRNA from 1 species
UACAGAGGUCUCAAGCGUUGUUCGGAUUCAUUGGGCGUAAAGGGUGCGUAGGCGGCGCGGUAAGUCGGGUGUGAAAUCUCGGAGCUUAACUCCGAAACUGCAUUCGAUACUGCCGUGCUUGAGGACUGGAGAGGAGACUGGAAUUUACGGUGUAGCGGUGAAAUGCGUAGAUAUCGUAAGGAAGACCAGUGGCGAAGGCAGUGUCCUGGCGCGUAACUGACGCUGAGGUGCGAAAGCCAGGGGAGCGAACGGG